rnacentral:rRNA from 1 species
UGGAGGGGGCUAGCGUUGUUCGGAAUUACUGGGCGUAAGGCGCGCGUAGGCGGAUCAGAAAGUCAGAGGUGAAAUCCCAGGGCUCAACCUUGGAACUGCCUUUGAAACUCCUGGUCUAGAGUUCGAGAGAGGUGAGUGGAAUUCCGAGUGUAGAGGUGAAAUUCGUAGAUAUUCGGAGGAACACCAGUGGCGAAGGCGGCUCACUGGCUCGAUACUGACGCUGAGGUGCGCACGCGUGGGGAGCAAACAGG